AUGGCUGCUGGCACGGGCGCGCCCGGCACCGUGGCCCCCGCUGCAGCCCGCGGGGGGCGCCGGGGCGGCCGGGCGAGGCCAGCGGCCGGGCGGGGGCAGCGCGUCCCCCCGGCCCGGAGCCCCCUGCCCCGGCGGCCGGGCGCGAAGGCUCCUCCCGCUCCCGGCCCGCCCGCGCCGCGCUCCCGCAGCCCCGCGCCCGCCGCCCGCCGGACCUGCCCCCCGCCGCCUCCCCGCCGCCGCUGCCCGCACGGCUCCGCUCCGCUCCGCUCCGCUCGGCUCCGCUCCCCCGUCUCGUCGGUUAUUUCGGGAUCUUCACAGGAAGCGAUUAGGUUGCCAUGGAGAGAGGUGUCUCCAAGGGACCCGUCGCUCCAGCUCGCUCCGGCGAAUGCCACCCCCGGACGGGUCCGUCCUUGGGGGCGGAGGCCCCCCGGGAUCCCGCUCCCCCGGGCCGCCCCCCGGGGCUCACCCCCACCGCCCCUCGCCUUUCCGCCCCGCAGCAGUGCCCUCGGGGAGAUGCCAGCCCUCGGUCCCGCCCCCCGUCCCCCGUCCCCGCAUCCAUCAUCCCCGCGCUUCGGGCCCCCGGGCCCCCGUGGCCGCCGCGGUACCGGGCGGGGGGGGGCGACAGACGGGCGGCCGCGGCGAGGCGCAUCCCCGGCGGGGCAGGCGGCGGGGUUGGGUCGAGCCUCACGGGCAGAGCCCGUGGGACACACGGGUGAGCCUCAGUGAGGAGACCAAGCACUAAAGGAGCCUUAGGGACUGAAGAGGAUGACCCUGGGAAGGGGAAGUGACAAUCCAUAUGGCUGUACAACUGAGCUUGGGAGACAGUGAUCCAACUCCUCAAGGCAGCAACAGGCUGUAUUUUCUAGCUCUGAAAUUGUCUUUGGAGCAGAACUGUACCCCAAAGGAGCCUUCUCCAUGACUCAACCACAGCAGCUGUGUGACAAGAACUAGAGUCAAAGCAAGAGAAGAGAGCUGUUGAUACUGGCAAGUAAAACCUUAACAAACGUAGACUUUACCCAGAUGAAGAUUUCAAGAUGUUACACUUAUUUCAAGAUGUUACGCUUACAGAAGUCUGGCAAAGCACAAGUCAACUGCCUUUAAUAUGUGCUAAACUGAUCCAGAUGAAGACCAAAUCUCUUGCUGGCAAUCACGUGCUGGAGUGCAAACUUGCCCGGAUACCUCUACGAUUUUAACUUGCUGAAACCAUGCUACCUGCACAGACUGUAUCAGGCUCCCAUUGAUUUGUUGCCUCUUUUUCUUUCAUGGAAAAUCAUCGUGGAUUUCUGAAGGAGCCAGCCAUGAGGAAAUUAGUGAUGCACUGGAAACUCUUGGCCAAACAGCUUAAUAGUGCUUAUUGAAAUGCAUGCUGACUGCAUUCCUCCCAGUCCCCCUCACAACUCACCUCUGCCUGCCAUGUCAUUUAUACAAGAUGAGAAGAGCUCUGAAGCUUUGGGUUUUUUUCCCAAAAUGACCCCCACUUUUUAUUCUCUCUCACCUGGCACAGGGAUCCGUGCCCUCAACAGUGCCUCCUGACUGCAUUGCUGUAACUCAUACACCCACGAAGAGGUACUUAAGGUGCACUAUAAACAUUUCUAUCCUUGUGGAGCAUUUAAACUAUCUUUUUAUGGCCAUACCCUGCCUGCAUCAGGGAUGCAUUUCUUGACAAGUGCGAUGGUUAAUGAUUCAGCAGAUAGUAAAGUCAUUUUUUGGUAAAAAUUAAUGCAGUAGGGGAGAGGAGGCAUGCAAGGAUUUAAGAAAUGCACAGCUUAAAUACAUAAGUACGGUGCUUUGCAACAUAGGAUUUUUUACAUUUACAUAUCCCCAAAACACAGCCCAAAAUAGUGAGAUCUUAAUAGUGUGAAAGCAAAAAUGAGAGCAAUGUGUGGGCACACACAAGGUAUUCCAUGCACCUCUUUUAAUUCUG
ensembl:lncRNA